rnacentral:rRNA from 1 species
AUUGAACGCUGGCGGCAGGCCUAACACAUGCAAGUCGAACGAGUGGCGGACGGGUGAGUACUGUCUGGGACACUGCCCUAUGGAGGGGGAUAACUACUGUAAAAGGUAGCUAAUACCGCAUCCCAUCGUAUGUUCCCAGAUGGGAUUAGCUAGUGGGUGGGGUCCCGGCUCACCUAGGCGACGAUCCCUAGCUGGUCUGAGAGGAUGACCAGCCACACUGGAACUGCGACACGGUCCAGACUCCUACGGGAGGCAGCAGUGGGGAAUAUUGCACAAUGGGCGCAAGCCGGAGGCAGCCAUGCCGCGUGUAUGAAGAAGGCCUUCGGGUUGUAAAGUACUUUCAGCGAGGAGGCGUUACUCGCAGAAGAAGCACCGGCUAACUCCGUGCCAGCAGCCGCGGUAAUUC